GGGAUCUUAGCUCAGCUGGUUCAGAGCACCUGCCUUACAAGCAGGGGGUCACUGGUUCGAAUCCAGUAGGUCCCA
rnacentral:tRNA from 1 species